AGGUAAGCUACUAAGAGCGAAUGGUGGAUGCCUUGACUGGUAAAGGCGAUGAAGGACGUACUAGACUGCGAUAAGCUACGGGGAGCUGUCAAGAAGCUUUGAUCCGUAGAUUUCCGAAUGGGGCAACCCAAUGUAUAGAGAUAUACAUUACCUAUAUAGGAGCGAACGAGGGGAAUUGAAACAUCUUAGUACCCUCAGGAAAAGAAAUCAAUAGAGAUUGCGUCAGUAGCGGCGAGCGAAAGCGCAAGAGGGCAAACCCAGUGCUUGCACUGGGGGUUGUAGGACUGCAAUGUGCAAGAGCUGAGUUUAGCAGAACAUUCUGGAAAGUAUAGCCAUAGAGGGUGAUAGUCCCGUAUGCGAAAAACAAAGCUUAGCUAGCAGUAUCCUGAGUAGGGCGGGACACGAGGAAUCCUGUCUGAAUCCGGGUCGACCACGAUCCAACCCUAAAUACUAAUACCAGAUCGAUAGUGCACAAGUACCGUGAGGGAAAGGUGAAAAGAACUGAGGUGAUCAGAGUGAAAUAGAACCUGAAACCAUUUGCUUACAAUCAUUCAGAGCACUAUGUAGCAAUACAGUGUGAUGGACUGCCUUUUGCAUAAUGAGCCUGCGAGUUGUGGUGUCUGGCAAGGUUAAGCAAACGCGAAGCCGUAGCGAAAGCGAGUCUGAAUAGGGCGCUUAGUCAGAUGCUGCAGACCCGAAACGAAGUGAUCUAUCCAUGAGCAAGUUGAAGCUAGUGUAAGAACUAGUGGAGGACUGAACCCAUAGGCGUUGAAAAGCCCCGGGAUGACUUGUGGAUAGGGGUGAAAGGCCAAUCAAACUUCGUGAUAGCUGGUUCUCUCCGAAAUAUAUUUAGGUAUAGCGUUGUGUCGUAAUAUAAGGGGGUAGAGCACUGAAUGGGCUAGGGCAUACACCAAUGUACCAAACCCUAUCAAACUCCGAAUACCUUAUAUGUAAUCACAGCAGUCAGGCGGCGAGUGAUAAAAUCCGUCGUCAAGAGGGAAACAACCCAGACUACCAGCUAAGGUCCCUAAGUCUUACUUAAGUGGAAAACGAUGUGAAGUUACUUAAACAACCAGGAGGUUGGCUUAGAAGCAGCCAUCCUUUAAAGAAAGCGUAAUAGCUCACUGGUCUAGUGAUUUUGCGCGGAAAAUAUAACGGGGCUAAAGUAAGUACCGAAGCUGUAGACUUAGUUUACUAAGUGGUAGGAGAGCGUUCUAUUUGCGUCGAAGGUAUACCGGUAAGGAGUGCUGGAGCGAAUAGAAGUGAGCAUGCAGGCAUGAGUAGCGAUAAUUAAUGUGAGAAUCAUUAACGCCGUAAACCCAAGGUUUCCUACGCGAUGCUCGUCAUCGUAGGGUUAGUCGGGUCCUAAGUCGAGUCCGAAAGGGGUAGACGAUGGCAAAUUGGUUAAUAUUCCAAUACCAACAUUAGUGUGCGAUGGAAGGACGCUUAGGGCUAAGGGGGCUAGCGGAUGGAAGUGCUAGUCUAAGGUCGUAGGAGGUUAUACAGGCAAAUCCGUAUAACAAUACUCCGAGAACUGAAAGGCUUUUUGAAGUCUUCGGAUGGAUAGAAGAACCCCUGAUGCCGUCGAGCCAAGAAAAGUUUCUAAGUUUAGCUAAUGUUGCCCGUACCGUAAACCGACACAGGUGGGUGGGAUGAGUAUUCUAAGGCGCGUGGAAGAACUCUCUUUAAGGAACUCUGCAAAAUAGCACCGUAUCUUCGGUAUAAGGUGUGGUUAGCUUUGUAUUAGGAUUUACUCCGAAAGCAAGGAAACUUACAACAAAGAGUCCCUCCCGACUGUUUACCAAAAACACAGCACUCUGCUAACUCGUAAGAGGAUGUAUAGGGUGUGACGCCUGCCCGGUGCUCGAAGGUUAAUUGAUGGGGUUAGCAUUAGCGAAGCUCUUGAUCGAAGCCCGAGUAAACGGCGGCCGUAACUAUAACGGUCCUAAGGUAGCGAAAUUCCUUGUCGGUUAAAUACCGACCUGCAUGAAUGGCGUAACGAGAUGGGAGCUGUCUCAAAGAGGGAUCCAGUGAAAUUGUAGUGGAGGUGAAAAUUCCUCCUACCCGCGGCAAGACGGAAAGACCCCGUGGACCUUUACUACAGCUUGACACUGCUACUUGGAUAAGAAUGUGCAGGAUAGGUGGGAGGCUUUGAGUAUAUGACGCCAGUUGUAUAUGAGCCAUUGUUGAGAUACCACUCUUUCUUAUUUGGGUAG
rnacentral:rRNA from 1 species